rnacentral:rRNA from 1 species
UACGUAGGGUGCGAGCGUUGUCCGGAAUUACUGGGCGUAAGAGCUCGUAGGCGGUUUGUCGCGUCGUUCGUGAAAACUUGGGGCUUAACUCCAAGCGUGCGGGCGAUACGGGCAGACUUGAGUACUACAGGGGAGACUGGAAUUCCUGGUGUAGCGGUGAAAUGCGCAGAUAUCAGGAGGGACACCGGUGGCGAAGGCGGGUCUCUGGGUAGUAACUGACGCUGAGGAGCGAAAGCGUGGGUAGCGAACAGG